rnacentral:rRNA from 1 species
GAUGAACGCUGGCGGCGUGCCUAAUACAUGCAAGUCGAGCGAACAGACGAGGAGCUUGCUCCUCUGACGUUAGCGGCGGACGGGUGAGUAACACGUGGAUAACCUACCUAUAAGACUGGGAUAACUUCGGGAAACCGGAGCUAAUACCGGAUAAUAUAUUGAACCGCAUGGUUCAAUAGUGAAAGACGGUUUUGCUGUCACUUAUAGAUGGAUCCGCGUAGGAUUAGCUAGUUGGUAAGGUAACGGCUUACCAAGGCUACGAUGCGGAGACGCCCUGAGAGGGUGAUCCGCCACACUGGAACUGAGACACGGCCCAGACUCCUACGGGAGGCAGCAGUAGGGACUCUUCCGCAAUGGGCGAAUGCCUGACGGAGCACCGCCGCGUGAGUGAUGAAGGUCUUCGGAUCGUAAAACUCUGUUAUUAGGGAAGAACAAAUGUGUAAGUAGCUAUGCACGUCUUGACGGUACCUACUCAGAAAGCCCCGGCUAACUACGUG